rnacentral:rRNA from 1 species
GUGCACGCUGGCGGUAGGCCUCACCCCUGCAAGUCGCACGGCAGCACAGUAAGAGCUUGCUCUUACGGGUGGCGAGUGGCGGACGGGUGAGGAAUACAUCGGAAUCUACUUUUUCGUGGGGGAUAACGUAGGGAAACUUACGCUAAUACCGCAUACGACCUACGGGUGAAAGCAGGGGAUCUUCGGACCUUGCGCGAUUGAAUGAGCCGAUGUCGGAUUAGCUAGUUGGCGGGGUAAAGGCCCACCAAGGCGACGAUCCGUAGCUGGCCUGAGAGGAUGAUCAGCCACACUGGAACUGAGACACGGUCCAGACUCCUACGGGAGGCAGCAGUGGGGAAUAUUGGACAAUGGGCGCAAGCCUGAUCCAGCCAUACCGCGUGGGUGAAGAAGGCCUUCGGGUUGUAAAGCCCUUUUGUUGGGAAAGAAAAGCAGCAGGUUAAUACCCCGCUGUUCUGACGGUACCCAAAGAAUAAGCACCGGCUAACUUCGUG